rnacentral:piRNA from 1 species
UGGACUUUGUGAUUGAAAAAC